AGAAAGGAUCAAUAAAUUCCAAAAUUCAAAUAUUAUAUCUUUGCUUUAACCACAUUAAAAAUAACUAUAAACACUUUAAAUAUUAACUCAUAGCAUUCAUAAAAAUUAUUAUGCAGAGUAACUCUUACAUGAAGGCAUAUAACUGAAGAAAUAUUUGAUAUCUAUAUAUGGGAGCACUUAAUAUUUUAAAUAUGUCAAUGCUACCUAAAUCCAGAUUCAAUGUUGCUCAAACAAGCUUCUUCUUAAAUUGAUAAACUGUUUUUAAAAUUUAUGCAGAAGAAUAAAGGGCCAAGAAUACUCAAACCUCCCCAGCAAAAGAAAAUAAAGAAAAGCAGCAGAUUCAAAAGGCUAUUAUAAAACAAAAAUAUUCAGACUAUGUGGGAGUGAUUCAGGGUAAUGCAAUUGCCAACAGAAUGGGAUAGAAGAUUAUGAAAAAGACCCCUACUUCUGAGAAACUUUGCUUUAUGAUAGAUGAGGCAUGGCAAGUUAUUGAGCAAAGGGAGUGACUACUACAUAAGAGGACUUGGAAACCGUAGAUUUCUCAUACAAGAAACAAGACAAUAAUCAUGAGUACAAGGUUGACAAAUUUGACUACAUAAAAAUCAAGAACUUUAGUGUAUGAAAACGGAUUUUAGAGAAAAGCAAUCAAUAAACAAGUAAACAGAAUUGAAAAAAUACUCAGAUAUGAACAGGUAUUUUGCAAGAAAAGUAAUACAAAAGGCUAAAAGAGAAGUGAUGUGCUGAACUUCAUUAGUAAUCACAAAAAUACAAAUAAGAUCACUAUGAGUUACUAUUUUAGAUCCAUUCAAUAGGUAGAAGUUAAGUCUGACUAUGCUGAGUUUUAUAGAUAAUAUAGGUCGCUGGGGUCGAUUACGAUGACGAGACUAUAAAUUGGAUAAUCAGUAUGGAAAACAAUUUGGCAUUAGCUUGUAAAAGUGAUUCUUCACUUCCUCUUUGAUCCAAUAGUUCAACUCCUCAGUAGUUACCGAAGAGAAACUCUUUCAAAAGUGGACCAGGAAACAUGUAUAAUUAAGGUUCGAAUAAGCAUUUUUUUGUAAUAAAGAAACUCUGAAACAUCAUAAAUCCCAUAAAUAAGGUAAAUAGGUAAAUCAAUUUUAUUACAAUCACACAAUGGAAUAUUCUGCAUCAGGAAAAAUAAAUGAAUGAUAUACCAUGGGUGAUCUUAUUACAAUAGCAUUGAAUGAGAAGACCACAUGCAGUAUGAUGACCUUUAUAUAAAGUUCAAAAAAAGGCCAAAUAAACUGAUAUCUUUAAUAUAUAAAAAGGCUUUCUAGUAACAGACAAUGGAUGUGAAAAGAUAGUUAACAAGAAAUGUGACUGGAAAAUAAAAAAUAUAUAUAUAUAUUUAAAUACUUAGUCAAGCAAAGGGUGUAGUUAGAUAAACACUGUUUUCACUUUUUAUGGAAGAAUAAAUGAAGACAAUCUCCCUGAAAAGCAGUGUAUUAAUAUAUAAAGAAACCUUAAAAUGCUGUCAUUCUUUGAAGUAGUAAUUCUUACAAUCAGUUCCUAGACAUAAUCAGUGAUACAAAGAUUUAUAUAGAGAUAUUUGUCACAAUAUGAUCAACAGUAG
ensembl:lncRNA